rnacentral:rRNA from 1 species
GUAGACGCAGAGAACUGAAACAUCUUAGUACCUGCAGGAAGAGAAAGAAAAUUCGAUUCCCUGAGUAGCGGCGAGCGAAACGGGAAGAGCCCAAACCAACAAGCUUGCUUGUUGGGGUUGUAGGACUUCAAUAUGGUAGUCUGUUAGUAUAGUUGAAGGAUUUGGAAAAUUCCGCUAAAGAGGGUGAAAGCCCCGUAGACGAAAUGCUGACAACACCUAGGAGGAUCCUGAGUACGGCGGAACACGAG